GGGGGCAUUCAUCCAGGGAGAACCACAGAAGCAAAGAGAAAACCCCAUAAACAGAGGAGACGUGGUGUCUGCAACUAAUGGUGAAUGGGAAGGUGAGGCCAACUCCAAGAUGCCACUGCACAUGCUUCCGAGUCACCUGGGAGCCUCAGAGGCCAGCAUCCACAGGUGCUCACGGAGCUGGCCUGGGUCUUCCAGUGGAACAUGUGUUCUGAGCCUUCUGAGAGCUCCCCGGCCGCAGAGCACACUGGGGUUGCAAAUUCAACUUCCUGAGGGCCUCACUCACUCCUUCCCACCAAAAAAAAAGAUUUUCCCUUAG
rnacentral:lncRNA from 1 species